rnacentral:tRNA from 1 species
GCAGGGGUAGGGAAGCGGUCAAACCCGCAGGGUUUAGGACCCUGUCGCUUAGUGCGUUCUGCGGUUCGAAUCCGCACCCCUGCA